UACGUAGGGUGCAAGCGUUGUCCGGAAUCAUUGGGCGUAAAGCGCGUGUAGGCGGCCCGAUAAGUCCGCUGUGAAAAGUCCAGGGCUCAACCCUGGGAUGCCGGUGGAUACUGUCGGGCUCGAGUCCGGAAGAGGCGAGUGGAAUUCCUGGUGUAGCGGUGAAAUGCGCAGAUAUCAGGAGGAACACCAAUGGCGAAGGCAGCUCGCUGGGACGUGACUGACGCUGAGACGCGAAAGCGUGGGGAGCAAACAGG
rnacentral:rRNA from 1 species